AUGCUCUCGCGGUCACCGCGAACCCGCCGAGUCCUCCCCCAAUCACAUUCAAAUAUUAUUAUAAUAUUAGAGUCGAUCGUAACGUGAUCAUGACGUGCGAAUACACUGCAACUCUAUUAUUAUGACACUCGAAAAACCCGAAAUUUUGACGCUACGUUGCCAUAUUCACAUGGUAAAAUGAACAUGUCGUUAUAUUAUAUAUACAACGUGUAAUAUAAUACGUCUACAGUAGUUCCCGCCCAGAGCCGACGAAUUUUUUCGGUUUCAUCGAAUUUCUCCCUGAAUUAUGACACUUUCUGUUAUUCAUACUUUAAAUUUAUUUUUCUGCAGUUUUAUGCACUUUCAAUCAAAUACACUCAAACUAGGAAAUCAGAAUUUUUUUAUAGACUGAAAUUGUGGAAUUGAAUUAAAAUAUUAAUUUUAUCAUAUUGUUGCGAGAGAAGGGAGUUUCUGUAGCUCUGAAAAUUACUACAAACUUCCUCCUCCCACCACCACCAAAUGAAACCAGGGAAUGCAACUAUAUAUAAUUUAUAUAGCAUCAUCAAAAGAGUAUAAAAAAUGUGCUUUUUGGUGGUUUGCCUUUUAGAUUCUGAGUGGAGUAAAGAAUGUAUUGGUUUUACCAUGUUCAUUUUUUUUUUUUUAUCUGUAAACAAUAACUUGUCUACCAUCAAUUUUGCUCAAAUUUUCAAAUGUAGUUACUUUAAGGUGGUACAUUAAGAAGGUCAUUUUCUGAUUAUCCCAGAGGUUUUCAUAAUAAAUGAGAGAAACUGAGAAAAAACGUGUAAAAAACGGAAAAAUGUACGAAAUGUAUUAUUUUUAAAUCGCAAAUAUUACAGCCUUUCAAACAUGUAUAACUGAACUCUCCUCAGAAUUGUUUUUCGUUAGCAAUGGUGAAUCGUUGGGUACAGAUGUACAUUCAAUUUCCCCGUUACCUUUCCAACUUCUUACCUAUAAUAGUGGCCCACCCAUCGUACGAAGUAUGUCCGUUUGGUUUUUAUGAUUAACUUUUUCUAAGUAUUAUAAUAGGUGCUUAUUAAAUGUAUAGUAUAGUAUAAUAUAGUAUUAUUCGGUUAAUUGGUAAAUAAUUAUUUAAAAUUAAACUCUAUUUUUUAUUUUAUUUUGCUUGGAUUGCGCUGUUUUUACGUCACUAUUAUUACCAUAUCACUAUGUUAGUUUUCACUUUAAUUACUUCAAUCUUGUUAAUUUUCUAUUAUUAAUUUUACUAUUUUAGAUGGAUAUACCCCGUUAUAACACAUAGUAUUGUAUUAUUAUAUUAUACGACUAUGAAUUGUCUUUACAGAGAAUAUUCUUAUAAUUUAAAAUGGGCGUGGAGAAAUCCUACUCUGCUCUAAGAACCUCUGCAUAUUGUACGAUGAGUUCAACCGAUUGACAUUCCUCGUCUUUACCUCGUUAAAAAUAUAUGACGUAUAAAAAAAAAUGAAUUAAACCGCAAGAUCGUGACGAAACGAUUGCCGUUUGCAAUUGAUUUAAAACGAUCGCAUAAUUCGUUAUACUCCAUACUUAAUGCGUACAGUGUUUUAAACAUGUUUACACCGUUUAAACCGAAAUAAAGAUCCAGAAAACAAAAAAUUCACGAGGAAGACGCUUUUGGGUACCGUAUCUUCUUGGCCAUCCCCUCACCCCUACAUUAAAAAUGCGGAUUUUACAGCAAUUAAACAAUUAAUGGCCAAAUUUUUAAUUUGCUCGAAACGAUUACUAAUUUACGACGAGACAAUACAAGAUUCUGAUAAAAUUAAGAACUCGUAUAUUCAAUGUCGACUCUCGAUUUUUCCAAGAUAAACUUAACGCUAAAACGUUGAGUUAUAGAUUUAUAGUGAUCGAUGGUACUCAGAAGUUUUAAACAUUCAAUAUCAAUACUUGGAGCUGAGGUCCUGGUGGUCCAAAAUCAAAGAAAUUUCGGGUUUUCGGAUUAAAACCGAUAUUAACGACCAAAACACAGUGGCGGCGAUAUCAUAUGAGAUGAUUUGAUUAAUUUUUUUCGACAAUAGAAAUUGUGUACUAU